GACGAACGCUGGCGGCGUGCUUAACACAUGCAAGUCGUGCGGUAAGGCCCUUUCGGGGUUCCCGGACCGGCGAAGGGUUGAGUAACACUUGGGCAACCUGCCCUUCCUUUUGGGUAAACGGCCGGAACGGGGGGCAAAUACCGGAAAUACCUCCUUCACCCAUGGGGGGUGGUGGAAGGCCUUCGGGUGGUGGGGGAUGGGCUCGCGGUCUAUCAGUUUGUUGGUGGGGGGAUGGCCUACCAAGGCUUCGACGGGUAGCCGGCCUGAGAGGGUGACCGGCCACACUGGGACUGAGACACGGCCCAGACUCCUACGGGAGGCAGCAGUGGGGAAUAUUGGACAAUGGGCGAAAGCCUGAUCCAGCAACGCCGCGUGAGGGAUGACGGCCUUCGGGUUGUAAACCUCUUUCGCCUGCGACGAAGCGAGAGUGACGGUAGCAGGUAAAGAAGCACCGGCCAACUACGUG
rnacentral:rRNA from 1 species